AGAAAUAAAGGGGUGAGCCGCUCGCACGCACCCCCCCCCCGCACGUGCACGAGGUCCUUGUGCGAGGAGCGUCUUCGUGCAAGGCCUCGUGCAAGGCCCUGCUCGUGGGCUUCGUGCGAGGAGCGUCUUCGUGUGAGGCCCCUGCGCAAGGCUUGUCCUCAUGCACACGCACGCUCAUGAAAGGUCCUCGUGCAAGGUCCUCGUGCAAGGCGUGUCUGUUUGCAAGUUCCUUGUGGAAGGCUUAUCCUUGUGCAAGGACCUGAAGCGAGGUGCAGUCUCGUGCAAGGCUGUGGUGUAAGGCAUUUCCUCGUGUUGAGGUUCACAUCUGUGCAAGGUCACACCACAAUGAUGUCGUGUAUGGCUCAUCCUUGUGCAAGAUGUGUCCUCGUGGAAGGCACGUAUAUCCUCAUGCAAGGUUAUGGAAGGCACGGUGUAUCCUUGUGCAAGGUCCUUGUGCAAAGCUUGUCACACGGGCUCUCCUUGCCAUGCCUCUGUGUAAGAACCUCGUGCAAGGUGCUCACACAAGAGCCUCAGUGGGGCUUUGCCCUCGUGCAAAGUCUCAAUGUGAGGCUCUGGUGCAAGGUUCUUGUGCUAAGCCCUUGUACGAGAGGCUUGUGAAAAGCUCAUCCUUGUGCAAGGAUCUCAUGGAAGGGCUUCGUGAGAGUCCUUGUGCAAAGCUAGAGGUUUUAACCGGGUCUUCAUGGGAUGCCUUAACACAAGGCUCUUGCUUGUGAUCCUUGUGCAAGAUCCUUGUGCAACAGUCAUUCUUAUCCAAGAUAUUCACAUGGGCUUGUUGCACAAGAUCCUCAUGUAAGGUCCUUGUGCAAAAGUAAUCCACGUGUGAGGUUCUCAUGUGACUCUCUUGCACAAAAUCAUCGUGCACAGCUCUCAUGCAAAGCUUACACUUGAGCGAGGGUCUCAUGGAAGGGCUUCAUGUGAAGCUCUUGCACCAGGGCCUCGUGUAAGAUCCUAGUGCAAAGCUCAUCCUUAUGAUAGGUCUUUGCGAGGCCCAUCCUGCAGCAUCCUCAUGCAAGAUCCUCGUGCUGGGCUCUUGUGCAAGGCCCUCCAACAAGAUCUUCAUCUGUUCCUCCUGCACAAGGUCCUCGUGGAAGAUCCUUGUGCAAGGCAUCUGUGCAAAGCACAUCCUCGUGCAAGAUCUUAGUACACUGUUUCCUUAUGAAAGGUCUUCACACAGCCUGGUUGCUCAAGAUCCUUGUACGAGGUCCUCGUGCAAGGAUCAUCCUCAUGCACGGUCAUCACCCGAGGCUCUUGUACCAGGUCCUCAUGGAAGAUCCUCGUGCAAAGCAAUGUCCUCGUGCAAAGCAGCCCAUCCACACGCAAGGUCCUAACCCAAGGCUCUUGUACCGGCUCCUCGUGCAAAACUCGUGCAAGGCUCAUCCUCGUGCAAGAUCCUCGUGCAACACUCUUGCAAGCCACCUUCCUCGCCCAACGCCAUCACACCGGCUCCUCGUGUGAGGCUCUCGUGCAAGAAGCCCCUCCCCAACCAAGUCCCUCUCACCGAACCCUGGUGCAUUCGCACGAGGAGUCGUGCGUGCCGGGGG
ensembl:lncRNA